rnacentral:RNase_P_RNA from 2 species
UGAGUAAGUCGGAUGAUCGCGUUUAUCUUUACGAUAAAUGAGGAAAGUCCGAGCUCCGUAGGGCAAGGGUGCUGGGUAAUACCCAGUGGAGGCGACUCUAAGGAUAGUGCAACAGAAAUAAACCGCCACAACUUUUGUGGUAAGGAUGGAAAGGUGAGGUAAGAGCUCACCAGCAACUAGGUGACUAGUUGGCUAUGUAAACCCCACCCGGAGCAAGACCAAGUAGGAACAUACAAAGGGGGCUGCCCGUUCCCGUUCCGUUGGUAGGUCGCUUGAGUCUACUGGCAACAGUAGGCCUAGAUAGAUGAUCGUCUAAGACAGAACUCGGCUUAUAGACUUACUCUCAUA